rnacentral:rRNA from 1 species
GACGAACCGAGCGAACGUUGUUCGGAAUCACUGGGCUUAAAGGGCGCGUAGGCGGGCCGCCAAGUUCGAGGUGAAAUCCUCCGGCUCAACCGGAGAACUGCCUCGAAUACUGGAGGCCUCGAGGCGGGUAGGGGCAUGCGGAACUGUGGGUGGAGCGGUGAAAUGCGUUGAUAUCCACAGGAACUCCGGUGGCGAAGGCGGCAUGCUGGACCCGAUCUGACGCUGAGGCACGAAGGCCAGGGGAGCAAACGGG